UUCGGGUUAGAUACUAUUGCUGUUUAAUCACUCACUUUCAAUCACCUCCCAUCUAAAGGCAAACGGGGCAGAGCGUCUACCAAGCCAUCGAAACUGCGAUCAGAGCGGGGGGAGAGAGAGAGAGAGAGAUGAGGAAGUUCGAUCCAUGGCCCGUUUUCUUCCGGAGAGAAUGGAGUCGGAACUGGCCUUUCUUGGUCGGUUUCGCCAUAACUGGUACAGUCAUCACCAAGUUAUCUCUCGGCCUUACCGAGGAGGAUGCAAAGAACUCACCUUUCGUGCAGAGGCACAAGAGGUGAGUUUCUGAAUGCUUGAUGUAGAAACAAGUUCAGUGCCGUGUUUCAUGCAUUGGGAUUGAACAUCAAUCUGUUACUAUUUCCAUGUUAAUAAAGAUUGAAUGUUUUAGAAGUUCAGCGCUGAAUUUUACUUUUUUGGUAUCCAUGAAGAAUGGGACUUACAUUGAUUUGUGAGAUUAUUGUUUUUGAUUUUGUGUGGCUAUUCAUGAAGAUAUAACUUCAUUGAUUUGUGAGUUUAAUGUUUCCAGUUUCUUCAA